GUGGCUUUGGAUAGGGAAGGGAGCCCGCAAAUCGUUGCGUCACAUCGGCUUUUGUAAUCGCUUCUGCUAAAUUCGUAAUGAUGGGGUCACGUGUUCGAGUCACGUAAGCGGCACCA
rnacentral:tRNA from 1 species